rnacentral:rRNA from 1 species
CACGCCGUAAACGAUGAUGACUAACUAUAGCCGUGAGGCUGUGGUGAAGCAAACGCAUUAAGUCAUCCGCCUGGGAAGUACGGUCGCAAGACUGAAACUUAAAGGAAUUGACGGGUCCCCGCACAAGCAGUGGAGCAUGAGGUUUAAUUCGACGCUACGCGAAGAACCUUACCAAGGCUUGACAUAUAGAGGAAACGGCCAGAGAUGGUCGCCCCGCAAGGUCUCUAUACAGGUGG